UGACCUAGCUGCCCUAAGACUACAGAACACUCCUGGCCUUUUAAAUAUUUGUUUUCAGAUGUUUUAAGAAACCGAGUCUGCCUAAGGAGAUGUCAGACGGACACCCAGCAGUGGACAACCACAUCUAGGAAGGCAAAUUGGAGUGGGCCAUAGGGGUGGUGGAGAUUAAGAAGCAUGCUGUGAAGUUUGCAUGUCUUGCAGGCCUGUACCUUUAGUUUCCUCAUCUGUUACAACAGAAAUCAUAACUUGCCUAUCUUACAGGGUUGCUAAAAAGACUUUAAUGUGUGCAUUCAAGGCAUCGUAAUUGGUGAGAAAGAUCUUAUAGAAGCAAUCCUGCCUUACUGUAUAUAAGUACUGAAUGUACUGCUACUUUUGCUAUAAAAUUUUAUUUCUCAAGAGAUGUCAUAAAGCUGUUGAAUUACCAUUGAUAAUGGUAAUUCUGCCAGUCACAUACGAGCUCUUCUACUGAGGAAUGAUGCUGCUCUCUUAGCAUUAAUAAUUUUGUGGGAAGAACGGGGCUAGCUGUUUGAAUCAUUGAAGGUUGCUAGGAGAAACCUGAUAGUGUUUCCGUAGGGCAUACCGAUGUAAUUAUAGAAGCUUCUUUGGAAAAUUGAUAAGGUGUCAGUUAUUUGUAGCUGCUCUUCAGAGCAAGUAAAACAAUAACAGAUGUUGAACAGAGUGGAUGACCUGCUUGUAUCCUGAUUUUCUUUGCAAUUGCACGUGGCCUUCCAGGAGAUAGGCUUGGGUUUGCAUUUAGUCUGUUAGAGCUCUGGCUGCUAUGGGUGCAGUUUUGAGAAGCAGCAAUAAAGGACAUUUGCUGUAAGUCCAUAGGAGUCGCUUUGUACUUUGGCUUUUGGCUUUUGCAAGGAGAGCAACAGAUCCAAGAAUCACAGAACACAUUGCAUGGGGCAUUGUUAUGAAACUGUAAGUGCCUUGCUAUGCUCUGCUUAAAAAUUUUUAUAAGUUAAAAUGUUGAAGCAUUGAGAGGGAAUAAUCCUGCAACAUACGUAACGCUCUAUAUAAGAAACAAACACUGUUUUAUUGUAGAACAUCCCUGUGUAUGUGCUCUCCAGCCCAGUGGGAGGCUGACUGCCUAGCAGCAGAUACUGUCUGUAAUCAGAUCCCUGCAGCUCUGCAUAGCACUAGUACAUCUGUCUAGAAUCUUGCAGUGGUUUGCUUUAUUUCACUGUUCCUAUUGCUCUCUGUGAGAUGGAUUUCUUCAUCUGAAGUGAAAAUUUGUAAACAUGGAAGUGCAAACUAAAGCGUGAGUUACAUUUCUGAAAAGCCACAUUACUGGUUUCAGUCAACUGAUACAUCAAUGUAACAUAUUUUUUGGAUGUGCGCUUUAGCUUCUCAAGCUUUAAUCAACGUAAGACAUGAGGUGAUAGUAUUAGCUCUCCAGCCUUUUUUGCUUACAUCGGUUACAAGACUUCGGAAAGUACUUUGCUUCAGAUGCUAAUUGUAGUUAAGCAACUAAAAAAAAUCUGAUGGAUUUGAGAUGGUAUUAUUUUAUGGAUGUUUUGCCCUGAAGGCAAGGGGGAAAUCCAUGAAUCUUGUUAAUACUGUCUCCUACCUACUUGAUAUCUGGUAGAAAUAACAAAAGAAAGUAAUAAAUAUAUGCAAGAUAAUUAAAUGGGCCAGAUAGGCAUUGCAGACAAUUCAUAGCUCUCUUGCAAUACCAAGGGUAGAAUAUCUCGGUCUACAUGGAUGGAAACAGGAAAGAAGUUUUAGAGAGCUCCUAAGACUUAAUUCUAUACUUUGAUCAUUCUUGAGAGCAAGGGGAAGAAAAUAAGGUUUGUUAGCAGCCCCCUUAAAUGCCAUGUUUGCAUGGGAUCUUUUGGAGUUUGCUUGCUUAAGCACUUUGUGUCCAGUAGGGAUGGACAGGAAAGGAUGGAAUAUUUGUUUUAUGUUUUUUGUGGUUAUCCAUCUGUAAAAUGUUGUUUACUCCCGUUCUUAGUGAUAGAUUUUUGAUGGGUUACUGUAGGAGUGAUACUGCAGGGAAUACUUGGAAGAUACUGACACACUGUAAAUCUGCCAGGUGCAUUAAUUUAUGAAGUUCUUUGUUCCUAUAUGAUAAUCAUCUUUGGGGAUUUACUUUUUUCAAGAUUACUGUGGUGGAAAUAUUAUCCAUUCACUGUCCAUGUUACAGUUAUUUAUAAGUAUAUUUAACAUGUUUGGAAUGGUGUAUUACAUUUCCUUAUGCUCUGUUACGGCUUUGCAGUUUAAUGCAUGCACUGAAAUGCUCAUCCCAGGAACAUUAUGAGUUGGUUACUCAUCCUUCUUUUCAGAGAUAAUCCUAGUAGCCUUUCCAUAUGCACUUUGACCAGUGGCACCAGCGUUACAGAGCUUCUUGUAGGAGAGAAAUACAUUACAAUGUGGAUGCAAGGAGAAGUAGCAGUGGCAGUAAUACAGCCAUUGUUGUGAUGGCCUACCAUUACAAGCAAGACAGGAUGUUUAUAUAUUAUGUCUUGGUUUAUAUCUUUUUAGAAAGAGAUAGGCUGAUUUCAGGCAAAUGUAUAAUCUUUGGAUUACGUAUGAUGUAUAACAGAUUUUUUAGUUUGUUUUGUAUCUUGCAUCAUUUUGAUCAACAGCCCAAUAGAGAGUUGGUAGGUUGACAAUCCAGUGAAGUCAGCAUCUGUAUCAGGUAUUAUUAGAGGUUUUAGAAUAACUGAGUAACUAGAUUUUCCCAAAUUUAAUUUAGGUUUUUUAUUCUUUUGAUAGUUAGGAAUAGAGUUUUUGUAGUCUGAUAUUUCUGUUCAUUGGUUUUGUUUUAUGCUGUCAUUCAGUAGACCAGUAAAUGAAUAUAGUUAUUGGGGUAGAAUUUUCUUAAAAUGUCAUUGUUGAGUUACUUAAUUUCAGAAGCUUUGUAUCAUCCUUAUGAAAUACUGUAUGUUUUACCUUUUUAUUGAAGUUUGUUUUGUGCAUCCAUCUACUGCAGAUCAAAUGUAAUGGCUGUUUCAAGCAGAUGCUGCAGUGUUGAUUUCAUUGCAAUUUAGCUAGUAUAGGUAACAAGAAAGCAUAUAUUUUUCUCCUAGUGACCUCCUGGUAUUCUGUGGUCUGUGCAUAAUAGCCUCUUAAUGGAGAAAGCAUUGAGGUGUCAUGGCAGCAUUAGAUACUGAAGUAGUAUACUGUCUUAUGUUCCUUGAAUCUAAAAAGAAACUGGAAUAUACUGAUCCUCUUAAGCUAUAGAAUUGAAAUCCUGAAAAAGAUGUUUUCAUGUAAUUUGUUUUAAUAGACUUUGUAAGCUCAAGGGGACCACUGACACUGCAAGAUUAUGAUGUUACUUUGCCAAGCUGCUUACCAGAAAAAGCAGCCGAAUUUUGCUUGAGCAGUUUGCUAGCAGACUUUCUCAACACAGAAGAACCUUCAGUGCAGAUGUUGAGUUUUAUAGAGGAAUCGUCAGGGUGGAUUAUAAGUUACCAGUUUUUUGGUGGGUUUUUUUUCACCCCUCUAAUUGUUCCACUUUUUCACCCCUUCACAUAGACA